AUGCUUCAUAACCACUCCUCUACUUUGCUUCUCUUUUUCUGUCUUUCCUUCAUACCUCUUACCCCCUCUAUUUCUGUUCUAUUCCUCUCUUUCUGUUCUAUUCCUCUCUUUCUGUUCUAUUCCUCUCUUUCUGUUCUAUUCCUCUUUCUAUUAUAUUCCUCUCUUUCCAUUCUAUUCCUCUCUGUCUUUCCAUCUCUCUCUCUCUUCUCCACCUCACUUUUUCUCUCUCUUUCUCCUCCUGUACUCUUUCUCUCUCCUCAUGUUUUCCAUCUCUCUAUUUCCAUCUCUCUAUUUCCAUCUCUCUCCAUCUCUCUCUAUUUCCAUCUCUCUCCAUCUCUCUCCAUUUCCAUCUCUCUCUCCAUCUCUCUCUAUUUCCAUCUCUCUCUCCAUCUCUCUAUUUCCAUCUCUCUCUCCAUCUCUCUCUAUUUCCAUCUCUCUCUCCAUCUCUCUCUAUUUCCAUCUCUCUCCAUCUCUAUUUCCAUCUCUCUCCAUCUCUCUCUAUUUCCAUCUCUCUCCAUCUCUCUCUAUUUCCAUCUCUCUCUCCAUCUCUCUCCAUCUCUAUUUCCAUCUCUCUCCAUCUCUCUCUAUUUCCAUCUCUCCAUAUCUCUCUCUCUUUCCAUCUCUCUCUGUAUCUCUCUCUCCAUCUCUCUCCAUCUCUCUCCAUCUCUCUCUAUUUCCAUCUCUCUCCAUCUCUCUCUAUUUCCGUCUCUCUGUAUUUCUCUCUCCAUCUCUCUCUCAUCUCUCUCUAUUUCUGUCUCUCUCUGUAUCUCUCUCUAUUUCCGUCUCUCUCUGUCUCUCUCCUUCCAUCUCUUUCUGUAUCUCUCUCUCCAUCUCUCUAUCUAUCUCUCUUUCCAUCUCUCUCUGUAUCUCUCUCUCCAUCUCUCUCCAUCUCUCUCUAUUUCCAUCUCUCUCCAUCUCUCUCUAUUUCCGUCUCUCUGUAUUUCUCUCUCCAUCUCUCUCUCAUCUCUCUCUAUUUCUGUCUCUCUCUGUAUCUCUCUCUAUUUCCGUCUCUCUCUGUAUCUCUCUCUCCAUCUCUCUCCAUCUCUCUCUAUUUCCAUCUCUCUCCAUCUCUCUCUCCUUCCAUCUCUUUCUGUAUCUCUCUCUCCAUCUCUCUCUCUAUCUAUCUCUAUUUCCAUGUCUCUCUGUAUCUUUCUCUCCAUCUCUCUCUCAUCUCUCUCUACUUCCAUCUCUCUCUGUAUCUCUCCCUCCAUCUCUCUCCAUAUCUCUCUCUAUUUCCAUCUCUCUCUGUAUCUCUCUCUCCAUCUCUCUCCACAUCUCUCUCUAUUUCCGUCGCUCUCUGUAUCUCUCUCUCCAUCUCUCUCUCAUCUCUCUCUAUUUCCGUCUCUCUCUGUAUCUCUCUCUAUUUCCGUCUCUCUCUGUAUCUCUCUCUAUUUCCGUCUUUCUCUGUAUCUCUCUCCAUCUUUCUCUAUUUCCAUCUCUCUCUGUAUCUCUCUCUGUAUCUCUCUCUCAUCUCUCUCUAUUUCCGUCUCUCUCUGUAUCUCUCUCUAUUUCUGUCUCUCUCUGUAUCUCUCUCCUUUCAUCUCUCUCUGUAUCUCUCUCUCUCCAUCUCUCUGUAUCUAUCUCUAUUUCCAUCUCUCUCUGUAUCUCUCUCUCCAUCUCUCUCUUCUUCCAUCUCUCUCUGUAUCUCUCUCCAUCUCUCUCUGUAUCUCUCUCUAUUUCCAAAUCUCUCUGUAUCGCUCUCCUUCCAUUUCUCUCUGUAUCUCUCUCUAUUUCCAUCUCUUUCUGUAUCUCUCUCCAUCUCUCUCUCCUUCUCUUUCUGUAUCUCCCCUCAUCUCUAUUUCCAUCUCUUUCUGUAUCUCUCUCUAUCUCUCUCUCCUUCCAUCUCUCUCUGUAUCUCUCUUUCCAUCUCUAUUUCCAUCUCUCUCUGUAUCUCUCCUCCUGCUUUCUCAUCAACAUUCUCAGCUGUGCUCAGCCCCCUGCAUGAGGCUAAUGCUCGUAGUGGACUGA
ensembl:lncRNA